CUCACACAGUCACAGCACAGACAUGGCGGCUCCCACACAGCCUCUGGUGUUGCUGCUCUGGAUUAUAGGUGCCAGAUGUGACAUCCAGAUGACCCAGUCUUCAGCUACCCUGUCUGUGUCCCUGGGAGAAAGUGUCACUAUGACAUGCCAGGAAAGUCAGAACAUUGGCAAUGCUUUAGCAUGGUAUCAGCAGAAACCAGGAGAACAUCCUCAUCUCCUGAUCUAUCAUGCAAACAGCUUGGAAGAUGGGGUCCCAUCUAGGUUCAGUGGGAGUAGAUCUGGCACACAGUUUUCUCUCAAGAUAAGUAGUGUGCAGUCUGAAGAUAUUGGAACCUAUUACUGUCAACAGUAUAGUAAUCUUCCUUCCACAGUGAUACAAGUCAUAGCAUAAACCCUGAAGGAAGCAGAACUAUGUGGCCUGGCUGCCCCAGAUGUUCCUCCUGGUGAGUCACUCGCUGAAACUGUUCCUCAGAGGUUACAGCCUUUUUAACAUAGCUCACAAUGAUUCUUUUCUGUUGUAGUUGUUGUUGGUAGAAGAGGCUAACCAGUCCUCUCUGUAGUCUAUUAUUCUUCCACUUGAUCUCCAGCAAUACAGAGUACAGAUGUCUUUUCUUAACAGAGGACACAGUUAUUCCCUAUGAGGACUAUGAAUUGUGUCUCCACUUGGGACUCACACAGAAGAGUGAAAGGUUCUGUGGAUAUUCCAGCAUAUGUUCUUUAUAUACAGAAAAUUAACUCUACAUUCCAGUAUUGAAAAAUCAGGAGAUUAUUAUUGAGAGAAGCUGACAGCAGAAAGCAUUCCUGGGUUUCUAGCAAAAGCUACAACACAAGUGUCAGAGAGAGGGAAGCCUACUUAGCCAUAAUCCUCUGUUGUGUCUUGAAAUUCCAGCAGUGGGUGUUGACGCUCUCAUGUGUCUGCAGCACUUCAAAUAGGAUUCUAUUGGCUCUUAUGUCCAUCACUCUGCUUAUAAGAACCGAACAAUAUUGAACCACACUCAUAUGACUUUUAUUCUCACUGUAUGAAGUGGAACAUAGACUUUUCUACAUGAAAUCAGGGAAAGUAAACGAUUGUCUUAAAUAUGUUUCCAGAAGUGGUAUUGAUGAAAAAUUGAUA